UCCUACCAAAGCCAGAACUUCGGAACUCUAGGGCCAAGGCCACCCACCGCGAAGAGACUAGACCUGAGACAAAACAUAAUGGCAAACACAGGGUCCCAUCCUCACCGGUCAUCAAAUGAAUAGGGACAUUACAUAAGCACCUGGUUUUACCAAAUAGGGAAGGUAAUGUCCACAUGACAGUGAUCAGGGCGCUGGUCACUCAGACUUCAUCUGAACUCCGUCAAACCUGGAGGUUAAGGUCUAGGGAGAAUCCUUUAGAUCAGGCUGCCCCAUCUUUCCAGUGCAAGGCAAACCUUGCAUUGUCCCUGUCUGGGGUGGGCUUCAUCCUUACUUCAGGGACACUGAUUCAGACAGGUACCAGAGGCUUCGGCGUUGGACUCAUCAGGCAGAGGCACACCCAUGCCUACAUAUGGAGCUGUUUAUUCUGAUCUCUUCCCCCUUGACCCAACUGUACUCUUUGACUGUUCGCACAUUUCCAGUCUCCUACGGUUUCUGAGUUCCAUGGGAGAUUGCUUCUUCCACAGAGGAGGAAGGAUUCUGCUGCCUCUAAGCUAACCAACUGGAUUCAAGACUGCCUUUGACCGCAGACACCUGUCAUCUCACAGGAGACCGGCUUCCUGUUCCCUGGGAGCACUUCCCCACACCUCACCUUUGGCUGACGGCUGUUUGAACAAUAUUAGAUCUGGCAGCCUAGCCCUCUGGUAGGGAAUGCAGUCUGCCAUUCUGAGAGGGGGAAGUAGCCACAGACCCUCCUCCAGUGUGCCCAGUUUGUCUCCUGGGGCUCUGAGUCUCUGGAUAGUGCCAUCUUUGUAUAGUCCCACACUGAAGCUCCCAGCCCACUCAGUCUAUUGGCAGAAUUCUCCAUCUCUGCCCUAGUGAGACUUGGCUCCGUGACUUCCUCCUUUCCGUUUGGUUUCCUUCCUCCAGCUGUGCCAUGGUAACUGUCCUGUCUCCAUUUCCCUCUGUUGAGGAGAGUAUGGACAUCCCCAUCUUUUAACUGUCACCUGUCCCUCUCCAGCGGGCUGCUGAACUCUGCUGGGGGAGGCCAGACCCUCCUUGGAGACGGGCUCUGGUCUCAGCUCACCCAUCUAGAUCACACAGCUCCUUUAGCAAUUCCAGUCCUAGCCUGUUUCCUUUGGGGACACAUCAUUACCCAAUUCCUACCCUCCUGGACAGUGCCUUCUUUAGAUAACCCAACAUGCUACUGGAGAUCACAGGUCACUGGACUCUGUUGGCCUCCACCCCUCUCCAUCAAUUCAGAAGUCUACCCCAGGUCCACUGGGACUGCUUUCAAGUUCUCCAACAGUGACACGUGUUCUGUGCCUGCUGGGAUCAGUUUCCAAGUUGACUCCUUCUAUUUCCCCCAUGCCUGCCCCUUUCUGUCACCUAGAUCCCCAAGGGAGGGCCUGUUUUUGCCCUCUAGUUGCCCUUUGGGGUUUCUGUAUCCUCCUCUCCCCAUCCCCCACUGUGACUAGACUCAGCCUGGCUGGUGACAAUCACUUGCAUACCCUCUUCUCACCACCCCCACUGUCACUGCCGGUUGAGUGCCCCCCUUUUUCUGGAGUAUUCGGGACUCUCCUAACUUGUCCGAUUUUGGCCUACCAAGCUCCACGCAACCCAGAAAGAAUUCUUUGCGGUGUGAUGAGUCAAUGGAUCCACACCUGCUUAGGGCCCUGCCUUGUCCCUGAGACACAGGUGCCACCUGGGCCAGCUCCCUGGAGGCUCACCUGCUUCCUUUGCCAAGGCUCUUCCUAGUGGGCUUCCCAAUUCUCUGUCCAGCGAUAGACCUUAGGAUUAUCCUGUGGUUGCCUUCCCUCAUGCCCUUGUGGGCUUCCCGUCUCUCUGUCCAGUGAUAGACCCUAGGAUCAUCCUGUGGUUGCUUUCCCUCAUGCCCAUGGGAUUCACCCGCACGGCCUCCCUCUCCCCGUGCCUUCCCUUCCUCCUCCUGGUACCCCCAGGCUGAAGGGGUGCAUCUCUGUAUCGGCCUUUGCUUUGUGCUCAAGCAGGACAUUCAUCACAAAACCAUAUCAGUGCAUUUCCAACGAGUGCCGGCGCCUUUGUCUCUCAUCUUAAAACUGUUGGCUCCUUGUGUGUAGAAAGUGUCUGACUGUUGGGUGUAGUGCUGUGCCUAGCUCAUUAUCUGUAUUCCCUGAAAGCCUGUUGAACAAAUGCCUCUCGCUAACGACCGUCGUUCAGCUCUCUGUUGCAUCGCUGCUGAUUUUCCUAUUAUUUACUUAACUGGGGCUCUGAUCCAGAUCAUCCAUCCAGGCUUUGGGGGCUGACAGCCGCUGCCCUGGAAUGCAUUUCUAUUUCUUCCUAGGGACUCUCAGGAUUUUUAAUUCUCCCUUUGUGUUUCUCUUGCCUCCGCAUCAGCAGUAUCAUGAGAAGUGGUCUGUCUUGGGUGAAAGAUCUUUAUAAACAACUACAGUGUGAUGUGAAGCAUCCUUUGGGAAGAAGGUACCCAGCUAAGAACGGAUGCAAAUUUUACAAUCAGAAUGCUUCGCUUUGCUUCCUGCCUGGCUCUCUGGGAGGAAUUUUGAACGGUGCAGCGGGAGGUUAGAAAUCAAGGGCUCUGUCUCAUUUUGUCACCGAGCCUCGAAAACAUUACAAACAUUUUUUUCCUACUUUUUUUUUUUAAGCGGCGCAGCCUCCAAAGAAAGAUAUUUACCAGGAAGAGUCCUUGGCCUGAUGGGCUAAUGACAGGUUGCUAUUUGCUGCACAGGGACAGAAUGGGGACACUGGUCUACACUCUGAAGGGUUGCAGAUGCCCAGCUUUUCUGUUUUUAAUGGAGAGCUUAAUAGGCUAACCCUUGGUGCUUUAUAAUACUGGGCAGCGGCUGGAGAUGCAGAGUCACAGGCUGGAGAGAGAAGCCACAGGACAAAUUGACGGGGGCAUGUCUCUCUCAGCAUAGGUCAGGCGGUCAUUAAAAAUGAAGGCGUGCUAGUCUAGGUAAUGACACACACAGAUCUGCCCCAUGGAUGCAUGGAACCAUCAGUCCACAAAGCACACUGGCAGUACUGUCUUUCAAAGCCACUAGUAAAGAACAUGUUUGAGGAAAGCCUGGGAUUGUAUAGGACAAAGUGGGGUUACCUCAGUAGGGGGCUGUGGUGAUGAGGGCUUCGGUUUCUCCUCACUGACAAAUUUUCAAAACUUCUAAGACAAGUUGGAAUAACAGCCUGAUGUAAGAACAACAGCUCAUGUUGUCAGUCACAAAACUGCCACCCCACCAGCCCCAGCAACACUGGAUUGUGAGAAUGCCCCUCUUUCCAAGCUUCCAGAACACUCUGAAGGUUCCCACAGAUGCCUAUGACAGAAGCAGGAGUUUGGGAACGCAAGUGUGACAGGAGAAAGAGGAGGGCUGGUGGUGGCAAAGAGCAAGUGACAGUUUGGGGACUUUCUGUACCCCACCCCAGGACAAAAAUGUGCCUUAAAUAAUUUAUCAUUUGCAUGCCACAUCUGUGGUUGUGGUGGUUUCCAUGAAAAAAAAAAAAAAGGUCCCAGUUACACUUGUGCAUUUGAACAUUUGGCCCCUGUUUUCUCGACUGGCUUCCUCCCUGUGGCUGAGAUGUCAUCUCCUGCUCCUGGCCCUGCUGCCAUGCCCUGCCAUCCUCACGAUGUGGACCGCCCCCUCUAUAGAUCCAUAAGUCUGCUCAGGGAACUCUGUGGAAGAGAAGGCAGAAAGAUUGUAGGAGCAGUGGGGAUGGAUGGCACCAAGGAAACAGUGCCUUCCGGACACAAGAGGACCGAUGCACGAUGAACUCACAGACAGUGGCAGCAUGCAGAGAGCCUGGGCAGGUCCAAGCCGGACGGGGCGCCAGCACUGAGAAGUGAAUAUGAUCUCCUGGCCAAGGAGCUACCUCAAACUAAUAUCUGCUUGCAAAGGAAAAAUUACUUGUCUCCAGUGGAGUCUCACUGGGUAUAUAAACCGCACUUUAGGGCAGGUUCUAUGCCCAGCAGUAGGUGCCAACUCAAAAUGAGCUCAGUGGUAUUUUGAGAAAUUUUAAUUUUUAAUUUUUGUCUCAUGAUGAUUUUUUCUGGGCAUUAAAAGCCUUUCUGGUCUUUUGUAUACAUAUUAUGGUUUCUGAUUUUGCAUUUUUAUGGGUUUUCUCUGUGGGCAUGUGUCCCUGCCUGUGUAUAUACUCCAUGUACUUUUUCUUUUUUUUCCCGUUUGUUUUAUUCUAUUCUGUUUAUUUUUUAUUUGCCCAUUUUUUUCCUAAGGAGAAAGAGAAAAAGCUGUGGAAUUGGAUGGGUGGGGAGGUGGAAAGGA